rnacentral:rRNA from 1 species
GGACGAACGCUGGCGGCGUGCCUAACACAUGCAAGUCGAACGGAAUUAGGUCUUCGGAAUUUAGUUAGUGGCGAACGGGUGAGUAACGCGUGAGCAACCUGCCUCUUUGAGGGGGAUAACAACCGGAAACGGUUGCUAAUACCGCAUAAGACCACACUCCCGCAUGAGAGAGAGGUCAAAGGAGCAAUCCGCAGAGAGAGGGGCUCGCGUCCCAUUAGGUAGACGGCGGGGUAACGGCCCACCGUGCCGACGAUGGGUAGCCGAGCUGAGAGGCUGAUCGGCCACACUGGAACUGAGACACGGUCCAGACUCCUACGGGAGGCAGCAGUGGGGAAUAUUGGGCAAUGGGCGAAAAAGCCUGACCCAGCAACGCCGCGUGAGGGAAGAAGGUCUUCGGAUUGUAAACCUCUGUCCUUGGUGACGAAGGAAGUGACGGUAGCCAAGGAGGAAGCCCCGGCUAACUACGUGCCAGCCGCCGC